rnacentral:sRNA from 1 species
GCUAUAGGGAGUUGGCACAGCUGCUGCAUUAACGUUCUCAACACCCCACAUAUAGCCGCUCCUUCAACGACGAAGGGCCGAGCUUCCCGAGAGAACGGGACCAGGACAAAGGCGUCCUCGCUAGCUGACUAGCGGGGAUGCC